rnacentral:rRNA from 1 species
GACGAACGCUGGCGGCGGGCCUAACACAUGCAAGUCGAACGGAAAGGCCCUGCUUUUGUGGGGUGCUCGAGUGGCGAACGGGUGAGUAACACGUGAGUAACCUGCCCUUGACUUUGGGAUAACUUCAGGAAACUGGGGCUAAUACCGGAUAGGAGCUCCUGCUGCAUGGUGGGGGUUGGAAAGUUGCGGCGGUUGGGGAUGGACUCGCGGCUUAUCAGCUUGUUGGUUGGGGAGUGGCUUACCAAGGCUUUGACGGGUAGCCGGCCGGAGAGGGUGACCGGCCACAAUGGGACUGAGAUACGGCCCAGACUCGUACGGGAGGCAACAGUGGGGAGCCUGGCACAGUGGGAGGACGCCUGAUGCAGAAACGCCGCGUGCGGGAUGACGGCCUUCGGGUUAUAAACCGCUUUCGCCUGUGACGCAGCGUGAGUGACGGUAACGGGUAAAGAAGCACCGGCUAACUACGUG